UACGUAGGGUGCGAGCGUUAAUCGGAAUUACUGGGCGUAAAGCGUGCGCAGGCGGUUUUUUAAGACAGAUGUGAAAUCCCCGGGCUUAACCUGGGAACGGCGUUUGUGACUGCAAGACUAGAGUACGGCAGAGGGGGGUAGAAUUCCACGUGUAGCAGUGAAAUGCGUAGAUAUGUGGAGGAAUACCGAUGGCGAAGGCAGCCCCCUGGGUCAAUACUGACGCUCAUGCACGAAAGCGUGGGGAGCAAACAGG
rnacentral:rRNA from 1 species